GUAGGUUUGACAUGACAAGUGGUAGGAACCGAAAGGCGACCCGACCCUUCGGGGAGCUUGCACAGGUGCUGCAUGGCUGUCGUCAGCUCGUGUCGUGAGAUGUUCGGUUAAGUCCGCUAACGAGCGCAACCCUCGCUGUGUGUUACAAGUGUCACACGGUACUGCCGGUCUUAAGCCGGAGGAAGGUGGGGAUGACGUCAAGUCAGCAUGGCCUUUAUGUCCUGGGCUACACACACGCUACAAUGGCCAACACAAUAGGUUGCUAAGCCGCGAGGUGGAGCCAAUCCUCAAAGUUGGUCUCAGUUCAGAUUGCAGGCUGCAACCCGCCUGCAUGAAGAUGGAGUUGCUAGUAACCGCAGGUCAGCUAUACUGCGGUGAAUACGUUCCCGGGGCUU
rnacentral:rRNA from 1 species